rnacentral:misc_RNA from 1 species
GGACUACAAGGGUUUCUAAUCCUGUUUGCUCCCCACGCUUUCGAGCCUCAACGUCAGUUACUGUCCAGUAAGCCGCCUUCGCCACUGGUGUUCCUCCUAAUAUCUACGCAUUUCACCGCUACACUAGGAAUUCCACUUACCUCUCCAGCACUCUAGCAUGGCAGUUUCCAAAGCAGUUCAGGGGUUAAGCCCCUGCCUUUCACUUCAGACUUGCCGCGCCGUCUACGCUCCCUUUACACCCAGUAAAUCCGGAUAACGCUUGCCCCCUACGUAUUACCGCGGCGGCUGGCAC